UACCUGGCUCAGAACGAACGCUGGCGGCAGGCUUAACACAUGCAAGUCGAACGAAGUCUUCGGACUUAGUGGCAGACGGGUGAGUAACGCGUGGGAACCUACCCUUUGGUACGGAACAACAGUUGGAAACGACUGCUAAUACCGUAUGCGCCCUACGGGGGAAAGAUUUAUCGCCGAAGGAUGGGCCCGCGUUGGAUUAGCUAGUUGGUAGGGUAACGGCCUACCAAGGCGACGAUCCAUAGCUGGUCUGAGAGGAUGAUCAGCCACACUGGGACUGAGACACGGCCCAGACUCCUACGGGAGGCAGCAGUGGGGAAUAUUGGACAAUGGGGGCAACCCUGAUCCAGCCAUGCCGCGUGAGUGAUGAAGGCCCUAGGGUUGUAAAGCUCUUUCAGCGAGGAGGAUAAUGACGUUACUCGCAGAAGAAGCCCCGGCUAACUUCGUGCCAGCAGCCGCGGUAAUACGAAGGGGGCUAGCGUUGUUCGGAAUCACUGGGCGUAAAGCGCACGUAGGCGGACUUUUAAGUCAGGGGUGAAAUCCCGGGGCUCAACCCCGGAACUGCCUUUGAUACUGGAAGUCUUGAGUCCGAGAGAGGUGAGUGGAACUCCGAGUGUAGAGGUGAAAUUCGUAGAUAUUCGGAAGAACACCAGUGGCGAUAGGCG
rnacentral:rRNA from 1 species